GGGAAGGGAGAGAGAGAGAGGCUGGGAGCGAGCAGGGAGAGCAACAACUGCGGAGAAAGUGAGCACAAAACAGAAAGUGAAAUCGGCGCGGGCUGCCAGCCGCAUCCCCGCGCAGCUAUCACCACUCACAGGGCCAUUAGACACAUGAAACCCUACACCGCUCUGCUCUCGCUAAUGACCACUGAUUGCCCGGAGUGGUGAGGAAAGGUGUAAAACUCGACACACUACUGGAGUCAUGCACGUUGCAUCCUCUACCUUUGCUAUCCGAGGUGCUAUCGUCCCUCUCGAGUAGAGUCCAGGGAAAAUGAGUUGCUAAAUCCAGGCAGCGCAGGCAGAUGUUGAGGAAGGAUGCUGACCUGCUGGAGGUCCCUGCAGAGGGAAGGGACCGGAGGCGCUCAGAUCACGUCGGGACACUUACCUGUUCACAGCUGUCAUUGCAUUUUGCGCCGUCUGUCUCAUUAAACACGUUAAAGUAAAGCAAUAUUCAACAA